UGCGCAGGCGGCUCUUUAAGACAGGUGUGAAAUCCCCGGGCUUAACCUGGGAAUUGCGCUUGUGACUGGAGAGCUUGAGUGCGGCAGAGGGGGAUGGAAUUCCUGGUGUAGCAGUGAAAUGCGUAGAUAUCAGGAGGAACACCGAUGGCGAAGGCAGUCCCCUGGGUCGACACUGACGCUCAGGCACGAAAGCGUGGGGAGCAAACA
rnacentral:rRNA from 1 species